rnacentral:rRNA from 1 species
GACGAACGCUGGCGGCGUGCUUAACACAUGCAAGUCGAACGGAAAGGCCCUGCUUGCAGGGUGCUCGCGUGGCGAACGGGUGAGUAACACGUGGGUGAUCUGCCCCUUACUUUGGGAUAAGCCUGGGGAACUGGGUCUAAUACUGGGUAGGACCAUGCUGUAGGUGGGGUGGUGGAAGGAUUGGUUUCGGUAAGGGGUGAGCUCGCGGCCUAUAAGCUUGUUGGUGGGGUAAUGGCGUACCAAGGCGUCGACGGGUAGCCGGCCGGAGAGGGUGGACGGCCACAUUGGGACUGAGAUGCGGCCCCGACUCCUACGGGAGGCAGCAGUGGGGGAUAUUGCACAAUGGUGGCAAGCCUGAUGCAGCGACGCCGCGUGGGGGGUGACGGCCUUCGGGUUGUAAACUCCUUUCAGCCAUGACGAAGCCCUUGUGGUGACGGUAGUGGUAGAAGAAGCACCGGCUAACUACGUG